GACGUAGGGCGCGAGCGUUGUCCGGAAUUACUGGGCUUAAAGCGCACGUAGGCGGCAUCGUAAGUGUCCGGUGAAAUCCCACGGCUCACCCGUGGAACUGCCUGGCAGACUGCGAUGCUCGAGUGUGGUAGGGGAGAGCGGAACUCCUGGUGGAGCGGUGAAAUGCGUAGAUAUCGAGAGGAACACCUGCGGCGAAGGCGGGUUGCUGGGCUGACACUGACGCUGAGGCGCGAAAGCUAGGGGAGCGAACGGG
rnacentral:rRNA from 1 species